AUUGAACGCUGGCGGCAUGCCUUACACAUGCAAGUCGAACGGCAGCACGGGUGCUUGCACCUGGUGGCGAGUGGCGAACGGGUGAGUAAUAUAUCGGAACGUACCUUAUUGUGGGGGAUAACGCAGCGAAAGCUGUGCUAAUACCGCAUAAUCCCUAAGGGGGAAAGCGGGGGACCGUAAGGCCUCGCGCAAUUAGAGCGGCCGAUACCUGAUUAGCUAGUUGGUGAGGUAAAGGCUCACCAAGGCGACGAUCAGUAGCUGGUCUGAGAGGACGAUCAGCCACACUGGGACUGAGACACGGCCCAGACUCCUACGGGAGGCAGCAGUGGGGAAUUUUGGACAAUGGGGGCAACCCUGAUCCAGCAAUGCCGCGUGAGUGAAGAAGGCCU
rnacentral:rRNA from 1 species